rnacentral:tRNA from 1 species
AAAGGGAGACCUAAUUCGGGUAUAAGACGAAAAAAUAGUAGUCGAAACCAAGAAUCAAUCCCAAAAGGUCGGAACGAGGUAUGUGGCUUUCAAACUAGGUUCUGGGUUCACAAAAGACCUGAAUCAGGAACAAGGGCUAUUAGCUCAGGUGGUUAGAGCGCACCCCUGAUAAGGGUGAGGUCCCUGGUUCGAGUCCAGGAUGGCCCACCUGUACAGGUGGCAAAAAGAAAGAAAAGAAGCGAGGAAUCAGCACCUUAUCUUACUUAUAUAGUAAGAGAGAAUGCUGGCUCUGAGUUCAGAGUCCAGAGGAACCUUGAAAACUGCAUAGAGCUAGGGGAAAAAGCCAAAAAAGAAGACCGCAAG